AACGAACGCUGGCGGCAGGCCUAACACAUGCAAGUCGAACGAAGUCUUCGGACUUAGUGGCGCACGGGUGAGUAACACGUGGGAAUAUACCUUACGCUGGGGGAUAACAUCGGGAAACUGAUGCUAAUACCGCAUACGCCCUUCGGGGGAAAGAUUUAUCGGCGAAAGAUUAGCCCGCGUCCGAUUAGCUAGUUGGUGAGGUAAUGGCUCACCAAGGCUCCGAUCGGUAGCUGGUCUGAGAGGAUGACCAGCCACACUGGGACUGAGACACGGCCCAGACUCCUACGGGAGGCAGCAGUGGGGAAUAUCGGGCAAUGGGCGCAAGCCUGAUCCAGCCAUGCCGCGUGAGUGAUGAAGGCCUUAGGGUUGUAAAGCUCUUUCACCCACGACGAUGAUGACGGUAGUGGGAGAAGAAGCCCCGGCUAACUUCGUG
rnacentral:rRNA from 1 species